rnacentral:tRNA from 1 species
GCCUUUGUGGUGUAGUGGUCAGCACAUUCUGUGCAUAUUUGAGAGGUCCGUGGUUCGAGUCCCAGUGAGGGCA